GUUAUCGUUUGUCCGUGUUCAAAGCAACGAGAAUCUGGAAACCAGUAAGAAGAAGAGACACAAAAAAAAAAAAAAAAAAAUCACAGAAAUGAAGAAAUCCGAGACCGCAGAAUUCACUGUGUGUCCUUAAGGAAUUUAACCCCCUCACUGUACCCGAGGUUGUGGAUUAUUUCCUCCCAGGAUAUAACGGAUAUACCUG
rnacentral:lncRNA from 1 species